UACCAUGUACAAUAAGGUGAACAAGGGCC
rnacentral:piRNA from 1 species